GCUGGCAUGGUGGUGUGUGCCUGUAACCCCAGCAACUUGGGAGGCUGAGGCAGGAGGAUCACAAAUUCAAAGGCAGCCUGAGUACCUUAGUGAGAUCCUGUCUCAA
rnacentral:sRNA from 1 species